UACGUAGGGUGCAAGCGUUAAUCGGAAUUACUGGGCGUAAAGCGUGCGCAGGCGGUUUUGUAAGUCUGGCGUGAAAUCCCCGGGCUUAACCUGGGAAUUGCGAUGGAGACUGCAAGGCUAGAAUCUGGCAGAGGGGGGUAGAAUUCCACGUGUAGCAGUGAAAUGCGUAGAGAUCCGGAGGAAGACCGGUGGCGAAGGCGGCCUGCUGGGCAGUUACUGACACUGAGGCGCGACAGCGUGGGGAGCAAACAGG
rnacentral:rRNA from 1 species